GCUGGGCGUGGUGGCUCACGCCUGUAAUCCCAGCACUUUGGGAGGCUGAAGUGGGCGGAUCACCUGAGGCCGGGAGUUUGAGACCAGCCUGGCCAACAUGGUGAAACCCCAUCUCUA
rfam:Pan troglodytes isolate Yerkes chimp pedigree #C0471 (Clint) chromosome 8, whole genome shotgun sequence.